GACGAACGCUGGCGGCGUGCUUAACACAUGCAAGUCGAACGGAAAGGCCCUGCUUUUGUGGGGUGCUCGAGUGGCGAACGGGUGAGUAACAAGUGAGUAACCUGCCCUUGACUUUGGGAUAACUUCAGGAAACUGGGGCUAAUACCGGAUAGGAGCUCCUGCUGCAUGGUGGGGGUUGGAAAGUUUCGGCGGUUGGGGAUGGACUCGCGGCUUAUCAGCUUGUUGGUGGGGUAGUGGCUUACCAAGGCUUUGACGAGUAGCCGGCCUGAGAGGGUGACCGGCCACAUUGGGACUGGAAUACGGCCCAGACUCCUGCGGGAGGCAGCAGUGGGAAAUAUUGCACAAUGGGCGGAAGCCUAAUGCAGCAACGCCGCGUGCGGGAUGACGGCCUUCGGGUUGUAAACCGCUUUCGCCUGUGACGAAGCGUGAGUGACAAUAAUGGGUAAAGAAGCACCGGCUAGCUACGUG
rnacentral:rRNA from 1 species